GACAGAGGGUGCAAACGUUGUUCGGAUUUACUGGGCGUAAAGCGCGUGUAGGCGGCUUUGCAAGUCGGAUGUGAAAGCCCACGGCUCAGCCGUGGAGGUGCAUCCGAAACUGCAUGGCUGGAGUCUCGGAGAGGAAGGUGGAAUGCUUGGUGUAGAGGUGAAAUUCGUAGAUAUCAAGCAGAACACCUGCGGCGAAGGCGGCCUUCUGGACGAUGACUGACGCUGAGACGCGAAAGCGUGGGGAGCAAACAGG
rnacentral:rRNA from 1 species